rnacentral:rRNA from 1 species
UACGUAGGCAGCAAGCGUUGUUCGGAGUUACUGGGCGUAAAGGGUGUGUAGGCGGUUGGAUAAGUGUGGUGUGAAAUCUCCCGGCUUAACUGGGAGGGUGCGCUACAAACUGUCUGACUAGAGUGUGGGAUGGGUAAGUGGAAUUCCUGGUGUAGCGGUGAAAUGCGCAGAUAUCAGGAGGAACACCGGUGGCGAAGGCGGUUCUCUGGGCAUGUCCUGACGCUGAGGAGCGAAAGUGUGGGGAGCGAACAGG